UACAGAGGUCCCGAGCGUUGUUCGGAUUCAUUGGGCGUAAAGGGUGCGUAGGCGGCGGGGCAAGUCUGAUGUGAAAUCCCGGGGCUCAACCCCGGAACUGCAUUGGAUACUGCCUUGCUUGAGUACUGGAGAGGGAACUGGAAUUCAUGGUGUAGCAGUGAAAUGCGUAGAGAUCAUGAGGAAGACCAGUGGCGAAGGCGGGUCUCGUGGACAGUUCCUGACACUGAGGCACGAAGGCCAGGGGAGCAAACGGG
rnacentral:rRNA from 1 species